CGGAAUCUGCCUGGUAGUGGGGAAUAACCAGUCGAAAGACUGGCUAAUGCCGCAUACGACCUUUUUUCGUAUUGGAAAUUGGUGAAAGCGGGGGAUCGCAAGACCUCGCGCUAAUAGAUGAGCCGAAGUCGGAUUAGCUAGUUGGUGAGGUAACGGCUCACCAAGGCGACAAUCCGUAGCUGGUCUGAGAGGACGACCAGCCACACUGGGACUGAGACACGGCCCAG
rnacentral:rRNA from 1 species